rnacentral:rRNA from 1 species
GUGGGGAAUCUUAGACAAUGGGCGCAAGCCUGAUCUAGCCAUGCCGCGUGAGUGAUGAAGGCCCUAGGGUUGUAAAGCUCUUUCAGCUGGGAAGAUAAUGACGGUACCAGCAGAAGAAGCCCCGGCUAACUCCGUGCCAGCAGCCGCGGUAAUACGGAGGGGGCUAGCGUUGUUCGGAAUUACUGGGCGUAAAGCGCGCGUAGGCGGACUGAAAAGUUGGGGGUGAAAUCCCGGGGCUCAACCUCGGACCUGCCUUCAAAACUAUCAGUCUGGAGUUCGAGAGAGGUGAGUGGAAUUCCGAGUGUAGAGGUGAAAUUCGUAGAUAUUCGGAGGAACACCAGUGGCGAAGGCGGCUCACUGGCUCGAUACUGACGCUGAGGUGCGAAAGCGUGGGGAGCAAACAGGAUUAGAAACCCGAGUAGUCC